GCUGAAUAAGCAUAUCAAUAAGCGGAGGAAAAGAAACUAACAAGGAUUCCCCUAGUAACUGCGAGUGAAGCGGGAAAAGCUCAAAUUUAAAAUCUGGCGGUCUUUGGCCGUCCGAGUUGUAGUCUGGAGAAGUGCUUUCCGCGCUGGACCGUGUACAAGUCUCCUGGAAUGGAGCGUCAUAGAGGGUGAGAAUCCCGUCUUUGACACGGACAACCAGUGCUCUGUGAUGCGCUCUCAAAGAGUCCAGUUGUUUGGGAAUGCAGCUCAAAAUGGGUGGUGAAUUCCAUCUAAAGCUAAAUAUUGGCGAGAGACCGAUAGCGAACAAGUACCGUGAGGGAAAGAUGAAAAGCACUUUGGAAAGAGAGUUAAACAGUACGUGAAAUUGUUGAAAGGGAAACGCUUGAAGUCAGGUGGGUCCGCCAGAACUCAAGCUUGCAAUUCUUGCCUGGUGUACUUUCUGGUGGACGGGCCAGCAUCAAUUUCGACUGCCGGACAAGGGCUGGGGGAAUGUGGCACNUUUCGGGUGUGUUAUAGCCCCCAGUCGCAUACGGUGGUUGGGAUUGAGGAAUUCAGCAUGCUUUAUGGUCGGGUUUGCCCACGUUCAUGCUUAGGAUGCUGGCGUAAUGGCUUUAAAACGACCGUCUNGAAACACGGACCAAGGAGUCUAACAUGCCGGCGAGUGUUCGGGUGGAAAACCCGUGCGCGUAAUGAAAGUGAAAGUUGGGACCUCUGUUAUGGAGGGCACCGACGCCCGGACCAGACCUUCUGUGACGGAUCUGCGGUAGAGCGUGUAUGUUGGGACCCGAAAGAUGGUGAACUAUGCCUGAAUAGGGUGAAGCCAGAGGAAACUCUGGUGGAGGCUCGUAGCGAUUCUGACGUGCAAAUCGAUCGUCAAAUUUGGGUAUAGGGGCGAAAGACUAAUCCAACCAUCUAGUACUGGUUCCUGCCGAAAUUCCCUCA
rnacentral:rRNA from 1 species